UCCCCGUAGUAUAAUGCAUUACAACGGUCUUGUAAACCGUAAAUGAAAACCACACUUUCCGAGGAUA
rnacentral:tRNA from 1 species